rnacentral:lncRNA from 1 species
CAAUCAAGGCAUCGUUCUGAGACCUGCACUGGAAUACCGCGUCGAGUCCUUGCUCAUCCCCACGAAUGCUUUGGGUUUCGCUGUGAUGUGUGUGCAGCUGUAUAUGGGCCUGUUGGGGCUGAUACAGCAGUCAUUCUUUCCAAGAAAUCUUUGAUCUGCUGAAAGGUGACUACAAAGCUGAUAGCCAAGCCUCUUUUUUGCAAGGAAACCCUGUCAGGCAAGGGAAGGUCAGACGGAUGAGAUUCCGGUUGGUCCCUCGAGCUAAGCUGUUCCGCACGGCGAGUGUAUGGGAACGAGGCUGCUUUGAGCUAACUUUGCCAACGCUCUGCUGGUGAGCACGUUUCUGCACUGUUGAGCUGACAGCUGAAAUCUGUCCUCCUCCUGCGUGUGAUGUCAGCUGUGGGCCAGCCUGGCAGUUAUGAAGAGAAGAAGGGGGGACAGCUAGGGGGAAAAGGAAGCAUGUUACGAUUGUGACCAGACCGGCUGAAACUGUGUGUCAUGUGUCACAAACCCCACGGCCUGGCAGAUCUCCGUGGAGGGAGCUUUGCCUACUCUCAUGACAUAUCUAAAGGCUCACGGGAGGCCAGCGCGCACCUGUAAGUCUCCUGGCUGACGUGCGACCAGGCAGCCGAGAGAGAGAGAGAGCGAGAGAGAGAGAGAGAGAGAGAGAGAAAUGGGCAAGAGCUGAGACUCCAGCAGCAGCAGGAAAUGGGCUGCGUUGCAGACAACCGGCGCCACCAAGAGUUAUUUCUAAAAUCUGGGUUCGAUUACGAUGUGCAGUCAGGUGUGGAAGGUGAAAAGAAGGAGCAGGAAGGAAAAGAUAAGACACGAAGAGAAGGAGCCAUGUGGAAAAACCUGGAGUGCAGAAGUGUUCGUCUGAAAGGCUACGAUGACCGUGAUGAGUAAAUUAUUUUAUUCCUUCCAUUAUACAAUAAAAUACUAUCCAG